rnacentral:rRNA from 1 species
UACGUAGGGUGCGAGCGUUAAUCGGAAUUACUGGGCGUAAAGCGUGCGCAGGCGGUUCGUUGUGUCCGUCGUGAAAGCCCCGGGCUUAACCUGGGAACUGCGAUGGAAACUAGCGAGCUGGAGUGUGGCAGGAGGGGGGUGGAAUUCCGCGUGUAGCAGUGAAAUGCGUAGAGAUGCGGAGGAACACCGAUGGCGAAGGCAGCCCCCUGGGCUAACACUGACGCUCAUGCACGAAAGCGUGGGGAGCAAACAGG